GUUCUAUAGAUAUUAAUUUUAGAUUAAACCUGCUCUAUGAUUUAUUAAAUGGCUGCAGUAUUUUAACUGUACUAAGGUAGCAUAAUAAUUUGUCUUUUAAUUGAAGGCUAGAAUGAAUGGUUUGAUGAAAAAUUUACUUUUUUAUUUAAAUAUAUUGAAUUUGAUUUUUUAGUUAAAAAGCUAAGAUUUUUUUAUAGGACGAGAAGACCCUAUAAAAUUUUAUUUUUUUAGUAUGUAUAUUUAUUUUGUUAAUAAUAUAUUUUAUAUAUUCAAUUAAUUUUGUUGGGGUGAUGGGAAAAUUUUUUUAACUUUUCUUUUAUUGUUUCAUUGAUUUAUGUUUUUUUGAUCCUAAAUUUUAGAUUUUAAGAUUAAAUUACUUUAGGGAUAACAGCGUUAUUUUUUUGGAGAGUUCAUAUCGAUGAAAAAGUUUGCGA
rnacentral:rRNA from 1 species